GACAGAGGGUGCAAACGUUGUUCGGAAUCAUUGGGCGUAAAGCGCACGUAGGUGGCCUGUUAAGUCGGGUGUGAAAUCCCCGGGCUUAACCUGGGAAUGGCCAUGGAAACUGGCGAACUGGAGUGCGGCAGAGGGGGGUGGAAUUCCGCGUGUAGCAGUGAAAUGCGCAGAUAUCGGGAGGAACACCAAUGGCGAAGGCAGCUCGCUGGGACGUUACUGACGCUGAGACGCGAAAGCGUGGGGAGC
rnacentral:rRNA from 1 species